CUCUGUUGGAGUCACACCAAUAUAGCAAGAGCUGGUGCCAGGGCCUGCAGGCACAGUGGGAUCCAGCAGCCAGAAAUCUGUGGUGAGAAAGGUGGCAGAGCCACCCAGCAGCACCACGGUUUGGUCCUUUGGUCAGAUUAUGGUAGAGCCUUGAAAGACGAGGUUGGGUUCUCAAUCUCCAUUUAACCUGGGAAAGCCCACUUGGCGAAGACUGCUGUAGGAGGGUGAGCGAGUUACAGCCUGGCCCCAGCCCGCCCUGGCAGGUGCAGCAGACAGGAGAUUUCUGAGGCUGUGAGAUGGGAGUUGGAUGCUGGAGGAAUCCUCUGUUGCUGUUGGCUGCUCUCGUCCUGGCAGCCAGGCUGGGUCACUUUCAAAGGUGGGAAGGCUUCCAGGAGAAGUCCACGAGCAUGAAAAACAUGAAUUCAACCCUCAAGUUCUUCAUUGAAACCUACAACAAUGCUAGCAAUGACACCUACUUAUUUCAAGUUGACAAGCUACUUCGAAGUCAGAUGCAGCUGACGACUGGAGUGGAGUAUAUGGUCACUGUGAAGAUUAGCCGGACCAAAUGUGAGAGGAAUGGCACAAGGAACCAUUCAUGCCCCAUUCAAAACAAAAAAAAGCUGAAAAAGAGUUUCAUUUGUGAUUUUUUGGUGUACACUGUGCCCUGGAUGAACUACUACCAACUCUGGAACAACUCCUGUCUCGAGGCUUGAAUGGAAGCUCAGCAGAGACUGAGUGCCACAGAUUUUCCCUGGAGUACACACAUGGGGGGCCUCUGCUUAGCAUGUGUCCAAACUUCAGGCUUCCAGAAGAAAAGCAGGAUGAGGACAGAUGUGACCCAGUGAGCUGCUGGCAGCGCCCUUGAGACUACAUGAAGGAAGUGGAGUGAAGAGAUGAAAUUGGUGAUAUUGUUCAAAAUCCUGAAUCAAACUGUUGGCUGGGUGGAGGGGAGAGUUGCUUAUUCCCCACUGCUGAUAUGGCACCCAUGAAAAAGGAUCCCCUUUAACAUGGUAUUCCUGGUUUCUCUCUAUCCUUAGUCAUAUGUCUCCUGGAGGAAUUAUUCUGAUUGUUCUAUCUGGGAAGAAUAAUGUAGGCAUGGUAGUCUCCUUCCUCCUCCUUCCCACACAGGCAGUUUCCUUGGUAACUCUAGAAGAGGAAGUUUUCUCUGAAGAAACCUGCUCUGGUCCAAUUUUGCUGAUGCUGGGGGUGUCAGUCUAACGUUAGAAUUUCGUAUUAGAAAGUGCACUUUCUUGCAAAAAUAAUGCAUAUCUCCCGACUUAAUCCUUGUCAGUGACAAAGACGCUCAUCUUAAAAAAAAUACGUGUAUUAUUUCUCCUUAUUCAACACAUUAUGCAAGAAAAGAGGUAGUCCUCAUUGGGCCCCUAAGAGAUGGCAUUGUAGGCCAUACUUACAAACAUGUCUUGUUUGAUCAGGUAAAUAACUUAGAACUUCUUCCCUCCUCCUCCUCCUCCUCCUCCUCUCCUCAUUUUUUACUUACUGUAAAGUCUGAAGACUCCUACUUGAUAUGAGGAUGGGGUUGAAGUUCUCCUAUCAUGCAGGUAUAGGCUAUAAGGACAGGAAUUAUCUAUGUCACUUCAUUAGAAUCCUAAAACUAUCCUAGCUCAGAAUACCUUCAGAUUACAUUAUUAUGAGCUGAAGAGUUUAGGGGAAAAGUGGACUAAUAAACAUUAAGAGUGUUGAGAUAAUAGUUUGACAAACAUUUAUUUUCUAUAUUGAGAAUUACUGCUUAUUGCAUGAUAUUUUAAUGUAUGACUGCUGAUAUGUGCUUCAGAACACCUAGCCAUUGGUGCAGUUUUUGUUCAGAAUUUUGUACUUUUCAAACCAGGGAACAACAAACACUGAGUAGAAGCACUCAAUUUGCUAAAAAACAAAAACAAUAUUUAAAAAAGGUCAAUAUGCAAAGUGAAAAUUUUAAAAGAGACAUUUUAAAAGUCUAAAAUUGGAGACUAGAAAAGGGUCCCUCCUGCCAUAGUCACAAUAACUAAUGAUUAUUUUUUCCUCUUUAUCUUUAGUUAUUGUGUUAUUUACUUCACACUUUCCCUUUUUUGGCCUCUUCUGGCUCCAUCCAUCCAUCCAUCCAUCCAUCCAUCCAUCCACUUACCCACCCAUUGCCAUCCAUAUUUCCUUCCUUGUACCUUUCUUCAUUUGUCUGUCCAGCCAUUCACCCAUCAUACCCUCUCUCUCCUUACCGUGUCCCUAUUCUCUCCCAAGAUUUUUCUUUUUCACUUCCUUUUUGUCCCAUAAUGAAAAAUCAAUAAACAUAACUUCUUAGUACAA